rnacentral:rRNA from 1 species
UACGUAGGGUGCGAGCGUUAAUCGGAAUUACUGGGCGUAAAGCGUGCGCAGGCGGUUCGUUGUGUCGGCGGUGAAAGCCCCGGGCUUAACCUGGGAAUGGCCGUUGAAACUGGCGAACUGGAGUGUGGCAGAGGGGGUGGAAUUCCGCGUGUAGCAGUGAAAUGCGUAGAGAUGCGGAGGAACACCGAUGGCGAAGGCAGCCCCUGGGCUGACACUGACGCUCAGGCACGAAAGCGUGGGGAGCAAACAGG